rnacentral:tRNA from 1 species
UUAAUUGAAGCCAAAAAGGCAUAUUAUUGUUAAUAAUAUAAAUGAAUUAAUUUAAUAAAUAAUUCCAAUUAAU